UUAAAUUCAUUGACAAAGAGAGUACAGAAUUUUGGCGUCGAAAGCGAGAUGAGGUAGAGUGGAAGCUCAUCGGAUUAGAAAUUUUGGAAGCGCACUUUGUAGAAAAGAUGGAGAAAUUAGUAUCUAUCUUCGCAGGACAUGCGUUAUCAAGCAAAAGGAUCGGGAAGCAAUUCCCCGUCAAAUUUAGAGUGGUACCACGACAGACAUCGUCUCUUAU
rnacentral:ncRNA from 1 species